CAACACAUCAUCUUCCAGACUGCAGUCGAAAAGGACAAGUUUGGAAAAGCAGAUAACAGAUAUAAAAGCCCACUCGCUGUAGUGACUGGAAGAAUGAGAAUUUCUGGUGUUUCAAGAUGCAACGACAAAGUGGAGAUCAGUGGUGACCUGGUGAAUGCCACAAUGGUAGAAGUGGGGGAGUGGGAAGGCCAGUGAAACUGUUCAGGGUCACAAAUUCACAGUGUGUCUGAGUGCUCAAUAUACCUUAAAAAGACAACACAUUGAAGAGCAGUCGGUGACAUUUCUAUGGCAGCUCCCUCCCUUUUGCUGUUAUUCU